rnacentral:lncRNA from 1 species
AUCGAUCUUCGAGAGGAAGGAGCUUUCCUGGACACGAUGUUAUUAUACCUGAAAGCAGAGACUGGUGUGGUAGGGAGCAUGAAGCUAGAACACAUUCAAGGGCUUCAGAGUGGUUCUGGGGAGAGGGAGAGGGUAGGUGAAGGAGAACUCUAAGCUUAGGAACCUACAGACAGUAGCUACCGGGCAGAAGUCACCCAACAGGAUGGCUUUGUCACGGGGCUCAAUUGGCGUUUAACAGAUUUACUUCACGGGAGGCACACUUAUGCUUUCUAAGGAUAAAUGAAUGCUUUGGGAUUUAAUGGACAAGAUGUCAGAAUUUAAACGCAUCAAAAAAUCAGUGGUUUUAAUGAACUUACCAGUAAAUAUGUACUACCCACAAAAGAUUUGGAAAAUCAGCUACUCUGAAAAAUUAUUAUUUAUAUGU